rnacentral:rRNA from 1 species
AACGAACGCUGGCGGCAUGCCUAACACAUGCAAGUCGAACGAGACCUUCGGGUCUAGUGGCGCACGGGUGCGUAACGCGUGGGAACCUGCCCUUAGGUUCGGAAUAACUCCCCGAAAGGGGUGCUAAUACCGGAUAAUGUCUUCGGACCAAAGAUUUAUCGCCUUUGGAUGGGCCCGCGUUGGAUUAGCUAGUUGGUAGGGUAAAAGCCUACCAAGGCGACGAUCCAUAGCUGGUCUGAGAGGAUGAUCAGCCACACUGGGACUGAGACACGGCCCAGACUCCUACGGGAGGGAGCAGUGGGGAAUAUUGGACAAUGGGCGAAAGCCUGAUCCAGCAAUGCCGCGUGAGUGAUGAAGGCCUUAGGGUUGUAAAGCUCUUUUACCCGGGAUGAUAAUGACAGUACCGGGAGAAUAAGCACCGGCUAACUCCGUG